rnacentral:rRNA from 1 species
UACGUAGGGGGCGAGCGUUGUCCGGAGUUACUGGGCGUAAAGGGCACGCAGGCGGUGCGGCGCGUUUCGCGUGACAGCGGAGGGCUUAACUCUCCGAGGAUGCGAAAGACGGCGGCACUUGAGGACGCGAGAGGGACACGGAAUUCCGGGUGGAGUGGUGAAAUGCGUAGAGAUCCGGAGGAACACCGAAGGCGAAGGCAGUGUCCUGGCGCGUAACUGACGCUGAGGUGCGAAAGCCAGGGGAGCGAACGGG